GAGGACACAGCACAUGGCUGGGGCCGGCAAAGUUGGGGCGUCCUCCCGAGCCAUGGGAUGGCACUGUGAUGUUGGGGGGGGGCAGCCCAGGCUGGUCAGUUUGUCCCAAGUCGCCCCCACAAUGCUGUUUAAGACCAUCAUCCUAGACUUCUGCUUGUACACAGAGUCGGGCCUCCAUGCUGUGUUCUCUUCCCAGGGAUCCCCAGUGUACUGCGCAGCUGAGAGGAGCCAGCGAGACCCUCUGGAACAGUCCUUCACAGCAUCAGAGACACCCCCUUUGCGUCGCCACCCCUCCCCAAGAACAGCAAGCCCGUUUCUGCCCUCACGCUGUGUGCAGUAACCAGUCCUUAAUCAAGAUUAUUCACGUCUGGAAACAGAAAGACCUACAGUCACUGUCUUUUCCGGGUGGGUGGGGGGUGGAAGAGGAGAUCGUGACUGGAGAUUUUUGUUCUCUUUAUCCUGGGCCCAUAUUUUUCAAGUUCUCUCCAAUCAGUCUGUAUGUCUUUUAUAACCCUCAAAGAAAGAAAGAAAGAAAGAAAGAAAGAAAGAAAGAAAGAAAAAGAAAGAGGAAAAAGAAAAAGAAAUGAUCCAAAUCACUCACUUUGGCUAUCUGAAAUACAGCCCCAUGUCGUUAAGAAAAAUGCUCGGGGUCAAAUGUAGGUCUUCAUCAGGAAAAAAAACCAGCAUUUAGCACAGCAAGCACCGACCGGCUGCCUUUAUGCUGACGGACACAGAAGACAGUAUCACAUCCCAGAUCCUAAGAGUUUCUGCCUCAUUUUUCAGGGGCAAGUGUAUGCCCUAGCAAGAGUCCUGCCUCUGCGGCUUUCAUUAGACUAAAGAAUUAUCCAGAAAACAAUCUUUUCUUCCUUAAAGACAAAUUUGUGAGCUGUCUUCCAAUGCCGUACAUUGCUGAGGACAGUGAGAUUGCCUUGUGCCCUUUUCUUUCCCAAAGUUAUUUAUAGCCUAUGCUUUUCCGAAACAAUUUUCACGCAGAUUAAUUUUUAGCCCGUGCGGGUAUCACUAUGGGAAAUUUGGGAGACGGAGAGAACAUUUUUUAAAUCACUUACUACCUCUCUCGACCACGCUAACGGAAAUGAUUCUCACUUUGAGGAUUACCUCCUGGUUUCUCAGAGGCUAUUUUGACAGACCACACAUCCUGCUUUGCUACGUAACCAUCCCCUUUGCCUCUGUAACAAGCACAUAUCCUGCGGUCUCUGUGCUUGCUUGUAGCCAUUGUCAUUGUGUGCAACCCUGCAGACUGUCCAGAGUAAACCUAUCAAAACUCACUGAACACAUUCCAUUCUUGAUCGUCUCGACUGCUUUCAAUUUUUUCACCAUUACGGGUCUUACAGUGCUGGAGAGCAGGGCUCGCUGUGGGGGGCUAUUUUUGCAAGAGUUUUACGGAGGGAGGAUUUGGAACCGCAUCUUGUGAAGGUCCCUGAGCUAUCUGAGCGCUGCAACAAUUCGCUUCUGAAGACAUCUAAGGCAGCGUGCAAAAGCCAUGCAAUCUGUUCAUUACAUUAAAAUAAAGACCGGCAGCCUGCAGGGUGGAGGGGACCUAGCCACCCCCCGUUAGGUGCCUUCCCUGUAUCUCUUCCACCAACACAGGUGACCCCACCAACCUCAAGGAGGGCGAUUCUGCUCAAGCUCCGCAAUGAUGUUUUCCUGGCUCCAUGCAAUGGAAUCAAAUAAAAGAUUCCCCCUCCCCCAUUA